rnacentral:misc_RNA from 1 species
UCCGGUUUAUCACCGGCAGUCUCCAUAGAGUUCUCGCCUUUACGCGUUAGUAACUAUGAAUAAGGGUUGCGCUCGUUGCGGGACUUAACCCAACAUCUCACGACACGAGCUGACGACAGCCAUGCACCACCUGUGAUCCUGCCCACAAGGGGAAGCCGUGUUUCCACGGCGGUCAGGAACAUGUCAAACCCAGGUAAGGUUCUUCGCGUUGCGUCGAAUUAAACCACAUGCUCCGCUGCUUGUGCGGGUCCCCGUCAAUUCCUUUGGGUUUUAGCCUUGCGGCCGUACUCCCCAGGCGGUCAACUUCACGCGUUAGCUUCGUUACCAAGGGAAUCAAUUCCCCGACAACCAGUUGACAUAGUUUAGGGCGUGGACUAC